UAGGUUCUCUUCCACCCACUCCCCUCCUGUGCUAGCCUCAUCAGGGUUCUCCCACCAGGUUAGAGACAAGAUCUGCCAUUAUUCCAGUCUUGAUCAGGAUCCUCCCCACACUCCAAGGCAAAAGAUUCCUCUUGGCAGACCCAUUGGGGAGAGCGCAUUCACAGACACGACCCUGGUCAGCGGGUCAAAUGAGCACACACUUCCUACUGAGGGCCUGUACUCAUCUCUGCAGGAAUAAGUUGCAGUACUGUCAUUUGCAACUGUGGAUGAAACUUGCACAAAUUGGUAAGAAAAUUAUCUAAACAAUUUGUUUCAAGGACCUUGCACCUGUAAAGUGUGUUAGCUGCUUGACACACAAAUUUGUCUCAAAGGUGAUUAGAGAAUGAUUAUGAUGCUUGUUUCUGAAUGUCUAGCAAAUGUGCACAUUAAAAAAAAAUGAAAGCUAUUGCCACUGACUCAUUUUA
rnacentral:lncRNA from 9 species